CUUAACACAUGCAAGUCGAACGGUGAACACGGAGCUUGCUCUGUGGGAUCAGUGGCGAACGGGUGAGUAACACGUGAGCAACCUGCCCCUGACUCUGGGAUAAGCGCUGGAAACGGCGUCUAAUACUGGAUACGAGUAGCGACCGCAUGGUCAGUUACUGGAAAGAUUUAUUGGUUGGGGAUGGGCUCGCGGCCUAUCAGCUUGUUGGUGAGGUAAUGGCUCACCAAGGCGUCGACGGGUAGCCGGCCUGAGAGGGUGACCGGCCACACUGGGACUGAGACACGGCCCAGACUCCUACGGGAGGCAGCAGUGGGGAAUAUUGCACAAUGGGCGCAAGCCUGAUGCAGCAACGCCGCGUGAGGGAUGACGGCCUUCGGGUUGUAAACCUCUUUUAGCAGGGAAGAAGCGAAAGUGACGGUACCUGCAGAAAAAGCGCCGGCUAACUACGUGCCAGCAGCCGCGGUAAUACGUAGGGCGCAAGCGUUAUCCGGAAUUAUUGGGCGUAAAGAGCUCGUAGGCGGUUUGUCGCGUCUGCUGUGAAAUCCGGAGGCUCAACCUCCGGCCUGCAGUGGGUACGGGCAGACUAGAGUGCGGUAGGGGAGAUUGGAAUUCCUGGUGUAGCGGUGGAAUGCGCAGAUAUCAGGAGGAA
rnacentral:rRNA from 1 species